AUGAUUAAUUUAAUGGCUGCAGUAUAUUGACUGUACAAAGGUAGCAUAAUCAUUUGUUUUGUAAAUUAAAGCUUGUAUGAAUGGUAAUAUGAAAAUAUAACUGUCUUUUAUUUAUUAAUAAAAUUUGAUUUUCCAGUGAAGAAGCUGGAAAUUUUUAGAAAGACGAGAAGACCCUAAUGAGUUUUAUAUAUUAUUAUAUAUUAUUAUAAUGAUAUAUUUUAUUGGGGUAAUAAGAGAAUAUAACUUCUUUUAUAUAAAAGAAAUUUUACUUAAUGAACCAUUAAUAAUGAUUAAAAGAUUAAAUUACCAUAGGGAUAACAGCAUAAUUCUUUUCAAGAGUACAUAUCGACAAAAGAGAUUAUGACCUCGAUGUUGAAUUAAGAAAAUUAUAUAAUGAAGAAAUUAUAUUAAUAAGUC
rnacentral:rRNA from 1 species